rnacentral:rRNA from 1 species
CAUGAAGCUGGAAUCGCUAGUAAUCGCAGAUCAGAAUGCUGCGGUGAAUACGUUCCCGGGUCUUGUACACACCGCCCGUCACACCAUGGGAGUUGGAAAUGCCCGAAGUCAGUGACCGAACCGAAAGGAAGGAGCUGCCGAAGGUGGAGCCGAUGACUGGGGUGAAGUCGUAACAAGGUAAC